UGAAUUCAGAGUUAGAAAGAGAUGCACACCAUCUGCCAGCUCAAACCAGUUCCAGCAGCCACUGCUUGAUGGAUGGGAUAAGGUUUUUGGAGGGGAAGAGGGAAGCAGGCUAUCUGGAGAAAGACUUGAAGAGCUCCCCCACUCCCAUCCCCCAAGACUGUGGAGGGGGCAGCAUGAUAUGUGCUCCAGGAGUGGAAGUGACUGGCAGCCUCUUACCUCUAAGAGGAAUGUCGGGGCGGUGGGAGGUGGGAGUGAAGUGAACCACACAAGCUGCGGCCUCAGAAGCCAUGGCCAGGACCCCCGCCCUGUGGAGCAGGGCCAAGAAGCAAGCAUGGCAGGGCUGGCCCUCAAACUCCUGUGUCAGGGCAUGCUUCCGGGAUCGGAGCUGAGACAGAAGGCAGAAGGGGAUUGGAACUGGUGUGAAGCUAUUUCGAGGUUUUACACUUUUUACAAAGGCACGUACUCCUUUAUUCUUAAUGCAAUUAAAAAUCUAUUUUAAAUAAUAAAUUUUUAAGAGCAAAAACUAUAGCUAGAAGCCACAGGAGACUCACAGAGAGAGACCACCGUUUAGCCACCUAUGUGCUCACCCUGACUCGAGAACCCACUGUCCCCCUGGCCCUGAUACCUCUCCCCGCACACCCCAAGACAGCACAACACCAGGUGAUAAUUUUAAGAGGAGCUCACAUUUGUUGAGCAGAUACCGUGCAGAGUGCUUUGCACAGAUUAUCUGUUUUACAUACUUAGAGCACAUGUAUUUAUCUCCCCUCCCUCCCAAGCUCCCUUUAAUAUAAUCGCGAAGGAACAAAAACGGUAUAAACCCACAAUAAGGAAGGGGGGGCAGGGUGUCGCCAGAUGAGGGAUUUCAACACAUUUCUGGAAGACAGAGAGCAGAAGGAAGGGUGGUGACAGGUGACACAGAGCAGAGAGAGCCCCAGCUGGAAUCCUCCCAGGCAGGGAAGCAAAAGGAAGAGGCUCCAGGCUGAGCCUAUGGGGGUCCCCAAGGGCAGGAGUAGGAACUAGGACUGGAAACAGGAUGGACUGAGGGUCCACAGGCAGACCUGCUGUCACACGCUACCUCCCCCCCGCCGCCGCCCACCACCACCACCACACCACCACCACCGUCCCCGCCUUCGGGGGUAGGACAGCCAUGAGCAAACUUCCUGGUUCCUUAGAGUUGACAUUGGUAUUCAUGCCACAGCAGGAAAGACUUUCUUCCAAAGAAAGGGGACACAUUUUCUGAGGAGAACUGGAGUGGCUCAUGUGCACAUAAGGGGAUUGGACGAAAGCCCCCCACAAUCCAUCAUCUGGGAGACCCCAGCUCCCCACAGGCUCACCUAAGUGGAGUUCCCCAACCACCAAUCCCCAACCUAGGCAACGCCACACUUCUGGUCCACGUUCCUCCUGCUACACAGGGAGAGACGCCCUCCCCGGCUGUUCGUCUGAGGAAAGCCUGCAACUUCAAAGACAAAGACAGGGAAGAACAUGAGGCAGACUGAUCCUGGAGGAAACAGAUAAUUUGGUAAACAGGGGAGAAUUUAAAGGAAGAUGAGCAAGAGGAGGCGGGGGGUGGGGAGCAGGAGGAAGAGGAGAGGGAGAAGGAAAGCUUUACCCUCAGAUGUGAGAAGCUAUUGCAUCCACAAAGCAAGCCUAACAAUCAGAGAAGGGGGACAGAGUGAGAGAACUUGAUUGAUGGCCUGAAAGAAAAAAAUCAAGAGAUUAUUCCAGAACACAGAGCACGAUGAAAGAAAGCGUGAGAGAAGGUAAGAGACAUACACAAUUGUCCGGGAGGUGCAACACGGGAGGACUAGCGGGGUCUUCAGAAAGAAAGCCUAGCGAAGACGAGGGAAAGAGCCUGCAAACCAUCCCAAUCCUUGUGGCUGAGGACGGUGCUGCAAGAGGCAGCCUCUGUGGGACUGGCUAUGUAAGCCAGGUUGCUUUUAUGUUUUGUGGCCUCUGGGUCAAUGUCCCUCGGACCUCCCUUAGUGUUUAGAAGUCUCAAGAGGAGCCAGGCUGGAGAGAGCGUUCUCCAUGCAGGGGCCCCAAGCGUAACCUGGGGAGGGGGCAACACUGGUUGGUGGUAUCAGUGGAUCUCAGAGUGAGGAUCCCCCAGAGGAAGGGGGCUCUGGGGGGCCCAAGGUCAGAGCUGCUCACUUCUUAUCCUGCGAAGACUCUUUCCAGAGCUAGAUCCUACAAGCCCUUGGUUUUGUUUGGAAAAGGACGGGCUUAUCUUGUGGAUGGGGAGGUCAACUUGUCCAACAUGUCUUAUAUCCAGAGGCUGACACAAACAUCAGUCGAUGGAUCUGAUGGGAGCUGAUGGGGACAGAAGCAUAAAAGAUGUUUCAACAGAUAUUUUUGAGACCAGAAUGGGAUGCCCGGCAAAGGAGUGAGCCUGCUGCCGCUGGGGGUAUUUAAGUUGAACCCAGACAAACAUCUGUCAGGAGAACUAUAAAAGGAAUUGGAACCCUAGAACAGGUAAAUUCAUAGAGAUAGAAAGUAGAACAAAGGUUACCAGGAGGCGGGGGCGGGGGGGAUGAGGAGUGGCGCUUAAUGGAUGUGGCUUCUCUUUAGGAUGAUGGAAAAGUUCUAGAAACAGACAGUGGGGGGCGGGCACCUGGGUGGUUCAGUGGUUGAGCAUCUGCUUUCAGCUCAGGUCGUGAUCCCGGGGUCCUGGGAUCGACUCCCACAUUGGGCUCCCCACGGGGAGCCUGCUUCACCCUCUGCCCAUGUCUCUGCCUCUCUUUCUGUGUCUCUCAUGAAUAGAUAAAUAAAAUCUUUAAAACAAAAAAAGGAAAGAAACAGACAGUGGUGAUGUUGACACAACAUUGUCAAUCUACUAAUGCCAGUGAACUGUACACUUAAAUAUAGUUAAAAUGGUAAAUUUUAUGUUAUAUGUACUUUACCACAAUUUAUUAAAAAAUUUUAAAAAGGAAAUCAGAGCCCACAUACACUGCCAGUGGGGAUAUGGAUGGUGCAACCACUGUGGAGAACAGUCUGGCAGUUUCUCAAUAAAGUUAAACAUAGAGUUACCAUAUGACCCAGCAAUCCUGCUCCUAGGUAUACAGCCUAGAGAAAUGAAAACAUAUGUCCACAAAUGUUCAGAGCAGCACUAUUCACAAUAGUUAAAAGGUGGAAACAAGCCAAAUGGCCACCAACUGAGGAAUGGAUGAACAAAAUGUGGUGAAUCUACACAGUGGAAUAUUAUUUGGCUAUAAAAAGAAAGGAAGAACUGACACACAACGGAGAAACCCUGGAAACAUCAUACAACGUAAAAGAAGCCAGUCACAAAAGACAUACACUGCAUGAUUUUGUGUGUAUGAAAUCUCCAGAACAGGCACGUCUAUAGAAACGGAAAGUAGAUGAGCGCUUGCCUGGGACCGGGGAGUGGUUAGAGGGAGAUGGGGAGUGACUGCUAAUGGAUAUGGGGUUUCUUUGGGGGAUGAUAAAAAGUGAUGAUGGUUGCAUUUCUGUGUGAAUGUACUAAAAAUCACUGAAUUGUACACUUUAAAU